rnacentral:rRNA from 1 species
UACGUAGGGUGCGAGCGUUGUCCGGAAUUAUUGGGCGUAAAGAGCUCGUAGGCGGCUUGUCGCGUCGGCUGUGAAAACCUGGGGCUCAACCCCGGGCCUGCAGCCGAUACGGGCAAGCUAGAAUUCGGUAGGGGAGACUGGAAUUCCGAGUGUAGAGGUGAAAUUCGUAGAUAUUCGCAAGAACACCAGUGGCGAAGGCGGCUGACUGGUCCGGUUCUGACGCUGAGGCGCGAAAGCCAGGGGAGCAAACGGG